UAAAGAGCAUUCUUCUCCUUAUUCCUUUAUCUCCGUUCUCCAUUCAGGUCCAAAGCAUCUGCAAUUCGAACGAUUCAAGAGAUAUCCCUUUGUCUUCAUACUGAUUUAAGCGUCUGCAAUACAAACGAUUCAAGAUGUAGAAAAAGGUGAGUUCUUGAUGCGAAGCCGCUUGACGCGUUGGUAUUUUUUUCAAGGAAAUGCAAUCUGUUCUUGAGCUCUUGAAGAUCUGUAAGUUGCCUGAGACAAGGAAAGGGGAAGGCUGAGGUGGUAGGGCGUAUAUCAAAUCAAAUGGAUCAAAAAAUGUAAACAGUUAAUGCUAUUAAAAACAGGCGAACAAGCGAACAAGCCAGGAAUAAGAAGCAAGCUGAAAAGAAUGCAGCCAUCAAACACAAAGUUCAUCUUUACAAAAAAGGAUACUUGAGAAGCAAGAACAUAUUACUGUUGACGCGUUUUACAACAGUUUAGGUUAAAGGGACAUAUGUCCACCAUGUGAUUGUCUCGCGGUUUAGAUUGAGGAAAAAAAUCGCUCCCUUUUGAUUCAACGUAUGUAUUUUUCUAUACCUAUGUAAUUAACACUUUUAGUACAUAUUUGUUUAAUUUUUCCAUUUAAACUU
rnacentral:lncRNA from 1 species